rnacentral:rRNA from 1 species
GACGAACGCUGGCGGCGUGCUUAACACAUGCAAGUCGAACGGAAAGGCCCUGCUUUUGUGGGGUGCUAGAGUGGCGAACGGGUGAGUAACACGUGAGUAACCUGCCCUUGACUUUGGGAUAACUUCAGGAAACUGGGGCUAAUACCGGAUAGGAGCUCCUGCUGCAUGGUGGGGGUUGGACAGUUUCGGCGGUUGGGGAUGGACUCGCGGCUUAUCAGCUUGUUGGUGGGGUAGUGGCUUACCAAGGCUUUGACGGGUAGCCGGCCUGAGAGGGUGGCCGGCCACAUGGGGACUGAGAGACGGCCCAGACUCCUACGGUAGGCAGCAGUGGAGAGUAUUGCACAAUGGGCGGAAGCCUGAUGCAGCAACGCCGCGUGCGGAAUGACGGCCUUCGGGUUGUAAACCGCUGUCGCCUGUGACGAAGCGUGAGUGACGGUAAUGGGUGAAGAAGCACCGGCUAACUACGUG